CCAGGAAUUCUAUUCUUGUUUUAACAAGAAUCUGUUUGUGGUACAUAUACUAAAAAUAAGGUCAUUGUUGAAUCAAAUUUUACACCAACUGUAAAUGUGGAAAUGUUAGUAUCCAGAAAAAUUGUAACAUUUCAUUCUGUUAAAUUAUCAAUUUUGUAGUACUGGGUGUUUUAAUUCAAACUUUUAGGGAAAUUAGGUCCAGGUAGAGUAAGGUAACCUGCAAAGCGGAUUAUGAAACAGUGUAAACUGUCUCAAGUUAUUUUUAUAUAAAUUAGAUACUGGUAUAAAUUGAAAUCACUUAAGAUAAUUUAAAUUUUUAAGAUUAAGUUUAGGAAAAUAGUACAGUUUAAAACUAAACAGAUUUCUUUAGCCAUGCAAUCACGUACACUACAAGAAUUAAUUUUAACUGAAAUGAUAUUAACAAUAACACUAGCUAUGGCAUGCAAUAUAGUGUUUGAUUGAAAAUGUGUUUUUGCUUAAUGAGCUUUGUAAAUGAGGCAAUUUAAAUUAUAUUUUACUGCAUUCAAAGAAUCUAAAAGAUUAUUAAUAUAUACCUUUUAUCAAACUGUAUAAACUAUUAUAGCCAUCAGGUCAUUUAUCAUGCAUUCCAUGUACAGUCUUUAUCCAAUAUAUCUCACAAGUGGUGUAAGUAGAGUGUUUUUUGAUAGUGCUCAAUAACCAUACUGAUCUGCUUUAUGAAACAUAUACAGUAUAUACAGUGUAAACAGUAGUUUCAUGAUGUGCAAUGUUGUAGCGACAAGUAUCAUAACACGCCCUUUUGUUACUUACAUGUAUUAUUUACUGUUCUUGUACAUGUAAAUAAAAUUCUUACUCUUG
rnacentral:sRNA from 1 species